rnacentral:rRNA from 1 species
AUGCCUUUGCAACUUAUCUUUUCUGAUGUGUGGGGGCCUGCACCCUCUUCUGUUGGUAGACAUACAUACUACAUGAGUUUCAUUGACGACUAUAGCAAAUUUUCUUGGAUCUAUCUUCUUAAGAAACGAUCCGAUGUUUUCCAAGUUUUUCUCAAUUUCCAAGCUUUGGUUGAACGGAAAUUCAAUAGCAAAAUCAUUGCUCUCCAGUCUGACUGGGGUGGAGAAUACGAAAAAUUAAACUCUUUCUUUCAAAAACUUGGAAUCCCUCACCACGUGUCUUGCCCACAUGCCCAUCAACAGAAUGGGUCUGCUGAGCGCAAGCACAGGCACAUCGUUGAAGUUGGCCUAACACUUCUAGCUGGUGCCUCCAUGCCUCUCAAAUUCUGGGAUGGGGCAUUUCUUGCUGCAGUACACAUCAUCAACAUGUUGCCUAGUCGUGUCAUAAACAAUGAAACUCCCAUGGAAAGACUCCUUCACACAAAACCAGACUACACAACACUUCGUGUUUUUGGGUGUGCAUGCUGGCCCAAUCUUCGUCCCUACAACAAUCGCAAGCUUAUGUUUCAAUCUAAGCAAUGCGUGUUCCUUGGUUACAGCAAUCAACAUAAAGGUGUUAAGUGCCUUGACAUCCCUACUGGUCGUGUGUAUAUUUCCCACGAUGUUGUCUUUGAUGAAACACAAUUUCCAUUCUCUAAGCUUCAUCCCAACGCCGGUGCACUUCUUCGCCAAGAAAUUCUCCUCUUACCACAAAGUCUCACCGGCCUUGAUCUAGGGGGAAAUAAUUCUGGUGAUCAAUUGUUGACUAACUCUCAUAACUGUGAGCAUGAGCUUUGUGAUGAUGCAGCAGAAAACGGUGAAAAAAAUGGUGAAGAAAGCGCCUCAAACGUGUUACAUUUUAUGUGUCCAGCACCGGGGGACAAAUCCUCCUCGGGAUCGGCAGCGCAGGAAUCCCGCAGUCGAUCCUCCUCGGGAUCGGUGGAGCGACAGGACGGCGAGGCGCUGGAACCCGUGUCGCCCGCCAGGCGUGGCGUCAGCGAACCUGCAUGCGGCACGCGGCGCCUCUCCAUCGGCUCAGGAGCGGCCUCCAGCCCGCAUCAAUCCGGCGCGGGCACCAGGCCCGCUGGGAGUCGUUGGGCCUCAAGCGGGCCCUGCCACUACAUGCGGCGGCGGCAACAGCCAAGCCCUCCACCACACGGGCGCGAGACAGGCACGGAUCCCGGCGUGGAUCCUGCUUUGUCCCCUGGCUCGCGGUCCGGCGCUGAUUCGCCUGGGCCCAGCCAAUCAUCGCGGCAUGAUGGGCACCCUGGCGCAGGAUCUUCUGUGCCGCAUGCAACUGAACCGGUGGCGUCAGGAGCCACAGAAGAUCCCGUCGAUCCGUCCCAGGGUGCUACAGCAAUGCCGACAGGAUCCGCCUCGGGAUCGCCUCCUUCUCACGUGGCAGCAGGAUCUUCUGCGCCCCCUACAGCUUCUGUCCCGCGUACACGCCUACAAAAAGGGGUAACUAAACCUGUUAAUUAUAAACAAGUUGUGAAGUUUGGUUUGGCAUGUUCGGCGGGUGAACCUAGCACUCCUGAGGAGGCACUCAGCGACACACGGUGGAAGAAGGCCAUGGAAGAAGAAUACAUGGCACUCCACAAAAAUCAAACAUGGCAUUUGGUUCCCCCACGGCGAGGUAAAAGUUUGAUUGAUUGCAAAUGGGUUUUCAGGAUAAAGAGAAAAUCUGAUGGAUCCAUAGAUCGCUACAAGGCCAGACUUGUUGCAAAGGGCUUUAAACAGCGAUACGGUAUAGACUAUGAGGACACCUUUACUCCCGUUGUUAAAGCUGCCACUAUUCGCCUUGUAUUGUCUAUUGCUGUUUUCAGGGGAUGGUGCCUUAGACAGCUAGAUGUACAGAACGCGUUCCUUCAUGAUGUUCUGGAAGAGGAAGUAUAUAUUAAGCAACCUCCUGGGUUUGAAAGUAAAAGCAAACCAACCUAUGUAUGCAAACUUGACAAAGCUCUGUAUGGACUGAAACAGGCUCCCAGGGCGUGGUACUCACGACCGAGUCAGAAACUUCAAGCACUUGGUUUUCUUCCUUCAAAAUCUGACACAUCCUUGUUCAUUUACAAUAAGUCAAAUACCUCCAUAUUUGUUCUUAUUUUACGUUGA